rnacentral:rRNA from 1 species
AGAGCGAACGCUGGCGGCAGGCUUAACACAUGCAAGUCGAGCGGGCGUAGCAAUACGUCAGCGGCAGACGGGUGAGUAACGCGUGGGAACGUACCUUUUGGUUCGGAACAACACAGGGAAACUUGUGCUAAUACCGGAUAAGCCCUUACGGGGAAAGAUUUAUCGCCGAAAGAUCGGCCCGCGUCUGAUUAGCUAGUUGGUGAGGUAACGGCUCACCAAGGCGACGAUCAGUAGCUGGUCUGAGAGGAUGAUCAGCCACAUUGGGACUGAGACACGGCCCAAACUCCUACGGGAGGCAGCAGUGGGAAUAUUGGACAAUGGGCGCAAGCCUGAUCCAGCCAUGCCGCGUGAGUGAUGAAGGCCCUAGGGUUGUAAAGCUCUUUUGUGCGGGAAGAUAAUGACGGUACCGCAAGAAUAAGCCCCGGCUAACUUCGCGCCAGCAGCCGC